CGCAGCGACAGUCUCCGGCGCUGAUGCAGGUGCGGCAGCCUGCUGGGAUUCCGGGAUCGGGGAGGCAGCAUCCAGCUGUUGGGCGGAUUUGGUGUCGUGCGCGGGAGCCGGCGUGCUCACCAAGAGCUGCGGCACGAGGUCUGAGAUUCUCUGCUUUGCGGCGUCGCCAUAGGAAUACCAGACCGCAGCCAUCCCAUCAGCGCCAGGCGCCUCAUACCGCGGCCGAAACCGGUGCGUGAUACCGGAUCGCGAAUGUCGCCGAUGUUAUCGUUCAGGGGAGUGUCGAUAGCCGACGGCUCGCUGGCUGACUCCGUCACCGCGGUCGGUGUCGCAUGAACCUCGGACUGAUUUGGCGUCAGCCG
rnacentral:misc_RNA from 1 species